AUGUUACUGGGCUGCUGGGGGCCACGUAUUUCAGGUUAUCCAGGAAAUGCUGGAUAAUUGCACAACUGAGUCACAAUUGAACGCUUGUUUGCUCUCCCCAGGCUCUGAACUCAAGACGGGGUAGUGGAAAGUGCUGGAUUUGGAAUCAUGGACUAUAGCUUUGGGAAAUGGAGAGCAAAGAUCUCGUGAAGAAUGGGAGUUGAGCAGUAUGCUCAGAAGAUGUGACUACUUUGUGGUGAUCGAGAUCCACUGGCAUUUAUUUGCAGUGUUCUGGGAAUUGAUGUAACCAGGAGGCAUGAUUCUCAAAUAAAGGCACCAUCUAUACAGAAUCCCUCUUCAACUUGGAAUCUGCCCUGGAUUUUUUUCCAUGACAGUGGUGAAAACGUUUGGCUAACAUGCAGCAACUUAUUUUAUGUCUUCCCUGAUAUGUCCCAUCAGUAAACUCUAAUCCUGAAAGACAAAGUAACUAUAAAAAAGUUGGACAAUCAAUUUUCCUAAUUAUAUUGUGUUUUUUUAAUUUUAAAAAUUUCAAAAUUCUUGUCCCCAAAAUGAAAUGAAAUAAGGAAAACCAUGUGCAAUGGAUAAAUAUGAUAUGCUUGAUCUUAUUCCAAAUGAAAAAGAACAACUAAUAAAUCUGUAAGUUGCAAUAAGCAUCUAAACCUGAAAUUCUUAUGUUUGGCAAUAAAUAUCGAAAAACCAUAUAGUCUGUUAUAUAUAUUCAAGGAGUUCUAAUAUACCAUGAGAAUGCAUCUUCCAGAUUACUGGAAGAGAAUUUUUAAAAAGAAGUUUUCCUUUUCCAAAUUUUUCCUCUUACAACAGCAACAACCAAGGAGCACAAGAGGCUUUUGUAUACCUUCUGGUCAAUUGUGUCAUGGUAAAGAAGUGGUUUACUGUGAGAUGUUGCUUCUGCAAAUCUACCUGUUGUAUUUAAGGCAUGUCCAUCAUGGAAAAUUGAAUGUAAUGGAAUAUUGUUACACCAUAAGAAAUUAUGAAAGGGGCUGGUUCCUAGGAAUAUGUAAAUUAACAGAUGCAGAGGGAAAUAAUCAGAAUUUAUUCAAUGAUUAUGACAUUAUAAAGGAAACCAUUUGAAAGACUUAUGAUCAUCCAGGACUCCAGAGGAUAAAGUUGAGAGGCACAAAAUAAGAUAUAUUAUCAUAUGGGGAUAUGGGGAUAUGUUUUACACUACUAUACUAACUUGUUACAAGGGCGAUUUUAUUUAUUUAUUUAUUUUGGAGAGGGGAAAAUAAGAGAGAAGAUGUUGCCUGGCGAUAUUGAUACAAAAGCAAAGGACAGAAGAAAAGUAUCAAUGAAAGUCACAAAAGAAAGAUCAGGUUUUGGAGUUUUGCUGAAUGUAAUUGAAAACAACAAGACCCUGUCCAAUAAAAACCCAAGCAAAACACAAUGAGGUUUAUGGUUUCUCUUUUUCAUAUAUGGAAAUGUUCAUGUUUGUUGGUGUUUAGAUUUUAAGAAAGAAAGAAAGAAAAAAAGGGAGAAAGCCCUUAUCACUAUCACUUCCUUAUUAAUAUCUCCAUCAAGGAUGCUCAUGAAACAUGCUUAUAUUAUCGUUACAAAAUUUUUAUGUCAAUGAAGUAGGUAUUCUAGUCAGUUAUUUUUUGAUGUUCUCAUUCACCUUAUUUUUUGGUUUCAUAAAGUCAGAGUUUUUGGUAUCCCUUUACUAUCCCAAAUGUUUGGCCCUGCUGGAUUGUUCUUAGGCCUGGUAAAUGUUUCUUUUCUCCUGUCCAACUCUGCUCCCAAAAGUUUAUGGCUUGCUGCUUCAGCAUAAUUUCUCUAGGUAUUCUAUCUCUGCUUUUCCAUUAAGAGUCAAUAUAUUUUAAAAAGUAUUUCCACAAAAAUCCACUUUCUCUUUCUCUCACCUGCCAUCCCCUUCCCAUUGAAAAAAUAAGGGAAAAAAAAGCACAAACAACAACCUAGUAACAAAUGUGGAUAGUCAAACAAAUUCUCAUAUCAGCC